CCAGCUCCAAUAACGUCGUUAGGAUUCUCAGCACCAUCAAUCGGGAGCUUCUCAAGCCCUCUGCCUUUGUUGCUUUGCAUCGCCACUCGAAUGCCCUUGUCAACGUUCUUCCUCCUGAGUCCGACUCCAGUAUUUCCCUUCUCAGCCAGUCAGAGAAGCCUGAUGUGAAGCUUCUCCCCUACUCACAGUCGACGAUGACAGCUCCUCCCUUGCAAACGACAAGGACGCAUGCAGAGAACAUGAAAAAGGAAAAGCUUGCGAGUUUGUUGGAUCAUAUUGAGAAUUUAAAUUUUCAAUCAGAGGAUUGAGGCAGCAGCCUAAUAGUGAAGCUCCUCAUAUACAUGUGAUGGUCGUCCAUCUCCAUUGCUGACAACUUGGUGAUUUUUCUAUCCAAUCAGGCAAUAAUCACAAAAUCAAAGCUUUGUAGUCUAUUCUUGUUGCGAUAAAAGAUAUGUUGAUAGUGGCGAUAGUGGGAUAAACUUGUAUGCCUAUAAAGUGUUUGAUAUAAUUCUUCAAUGACUUCUUCAAAUUGCCUAGAGCAGCGGGUACCCAUACACCAACAAUACAAAAUUUGUAUAACACCUCAACCUAAUCUAAACGUUUUAUCACUUACGACUUGGACGGAAGACAAAUCCAAGUCACUCCUGCCGAAGCUAAGCCUAGUCGUUCAUUUUAAAAUUUGAAUCUUAUAUCCUGGAUAAAGAAGAAAGACUAGGAUGAAAGAUGUUGGAAGCAGAACUUGCUCAUAAUGCCAAAGACUUCUUUUCCCAGCCACAAAAUCAAUUACCCUAAAUUCAAAAGGUAAUGUAAGUUUUUAUUUUAUCUUUUACCUUUGAGCCAUGUACUGCUUUGUUUUUGAACAAUUUUAGUAUCAGCUACAACUCAGUACUUGCAAAUAGGAUGAAAGAAACUAAAAUGUUGGCCUUAAUUUUUGUCGAAUGUGUGCAUAUUAAACAGACUUUGUCCUUUGUCUUCAUGACUGACUUUAUAUUUAGGAUCCAUUUGGUUAUUAUUCUCUGUGUUUAGAACAAAUUUACUUAUCGGUAACCUCUCUUUUGUUAAAUGAGAAUGUAUUUUUUUUUAAAAGGGUACAAAAUAAUUAAUAAUUGAGUUUAAUUUUCAUUAUUUUUAAUUAUAAUUAACCCGAGUUUCGUUUUUAUUUUUUCUUGUUAUUUGGGGAAAUUAAUGUUGAUUGAAUUAACUAGUUGCUAUAUGCCAAUGUAUUGCAGUUUAAAUGAAUACUGUUGUUCUUUGUAUACUUUGUUAUAUAGUGAUUAUUUUCUCUCUAAUUGUUUAAGCUAUAUUGCAGUCUGUUGUUUGUAUUCAAUAUAAGCACACCAUCGACACUAGCUAACCAGAGUAGAAUUCUUUGUAGUUUUGGAAAAUAUGGAUCUUGGCCAGGAUUAAUCCAUUUCACAGCGUAAUGUGAAAAUUACUGAUGGUCCAUACUCCACUAUUUUCACCUGGAACUCUGUAGUUUCAUUAAGUGUAGGACCAGAAGAUACAAUUCCAAAACAAGAAGCCAACUUCUAGAUCUGCUCAUGUGUACACUUAAAGAUGUGACUCAAUAUUUAUGAAUUGAUGCUGUGUACAAAUUUAAUAAUUUUAACCAUUUUUGUUGUUUUUUUUAGAAAAUAAUUUGUUGUAGUACUUAAAGAUUGUACUAUAUAUAAUAUAUAUUUCAUUAUAUAAAGAAAAAAAAAUUAUUUUACUAUUUAUUGUCAA